UGACAGUCAAAACCAGAAAACAACCCCAGGGCUCAUCAAAGGAGACUGGAUAAAUUAAUAGAAGGCAGAGAUAAAAUGUAUUGUGACAGUUAAUUGUGAUGUCAACUUAAAUGGAUUAAGAAACACCUAGCAGAUUAGUGGAGCACAGUUCUGGGUAUGCCUAAGGAUGAUUGACAUGUAAGCCAAAAAACUGAAGAGGGAAGACCCACCCCGGAUGUGGUGGCACCAACUAAAAGGCUUGUAUUCUGGAUGGCAUAAAAACAGAAAGAAGAAAGAAGUCUCCCCUUUGCUUCUUGGAAGGAGCUUCAGUCUUUACCAUCGCCUUUGAACAUUGGUCUUCAGUUCCUUCAGGCUUCCAGCACAGAUUUCAGUCUUCCAACACAGCUUUCUGACACAGAUUUGCACUGGAUUUUGCAGUGAGCUCCAGAUCUUUGAACUUCAACUGGAUCCUCCAACUCUCCAGCAUGCAGACGGCCAUUUUGCAUUCUUUCAUCCCUGAUUCCACAGCAUGAAAGGAAGAAUGUGCAUACGAAGGAUGGAACAAAAACUGUCUCUAAAGAGGACCAGGGGAAACUAUCAGGCAACUUUUGAAGACAAAUAUGCAAUGCUGGAGCUUUGGCCCACUAUUGUCCUGCCUCUUAUGACUGUCACUCCCCUUCAACAGCACUGCUACCCAACCACUGGACACACAGUAAAUUGUUUAAUCCUCACAACAACCCAUAUUUUAGCAUAAGUAUCCCCAGGUAGACAGCUUGACAACUCCCAUUACUCGAGCAGUGGGGCUAGAAUUGGUCCAUGCCCUCUACUCCUCCACUGUACCAGCACCCCAUGGCACAAGUCGAGAUCCCCUCUCCAGAUUACCAAGGGUAGCUUCCACAACACUGAGUUCAUUUCUGGAGAAAUAUUCAUAGAGAAUUCAAGCUCAAUACACAGAAACCAUGUACAAAGAAGGUGAAAAGUACACUCCAGAUCAAAAAUACUACAGUCUACUUGAUUCCUCCCCCUCAGGGACACCACA
ensembl:lncRNA